GCGGGCGUAGCUCAAUGGCAGAGCGCUAGCUUCCCAAGCUCGAUACGAGGGUUCGAUUCCCUUCGCCCGCUCCA
rnacentral:tRNA from 2 species